GCUCCUGCGGUGGAUCGUGAGAGAUGGCGAUUGCGCGGGGAGGUCUUCGUCCGGAAGUGGAAUGAUUGUGGCCGAUGAAGUCUCAAUGCCACAAAAACAAGAAUGUCAACGUGAAAACGAGGGCUCAAAACAUCUGACACGAACACAAUAUUAUUGUAAACAUUAAACAGCAUUUACAUAAGAGGGGGGGGGGGGGAGCACUCAAAAGCUCCACACUGAUAGAGUCAAGAAUCCAUGGCUACACUGCCAUCUCCUGACCACCUCGUAGGCCAAGCCUGGCAGUCCCCGGCAGUCUCCCACCGACUCAACCCUGCGUCGUGUCUGAGAUCUACGUUCAUCAGUGGGCUCAUUGCAGAUUGGUCAAAACAGUUGGCUUGAACGGGUGGGGUGACCAAUCAGGUGACUGCAUUGAUGCCGCUACACGUGGACUGGGAAUGAGAGCAACCGCCAGAAGAAAUGCAGCGAGACACGUGGGAAAGAGAAGAAGUCACGUCACUGCAGGCAGAAGGAGCUCUGGUGGGAGUUCUACAGAGGGUGACCGCUGUACACGGCGUCUUGGAGGAUGGUGAGGCCCACUGAGCUGUAUAGCUCUUGUUCAGAAGUGUACUGGCCACAAAUGACAGCUCAACCAAGUGGCCUAUCACGUGGACAUGUACAGCAGCCAAACACUCUGAGAGCGUGUUUGUCAACGUGGAGGGGAAAAUCGGAGAACCUGGAGAAAAAUCCACGCGACCACGGGGAGACCUCCUGUAUGCCAGAAGCGUCCCGGCCACAAGCGCGAGCAGCUCUACGAAGCGGCUCACCACGUGAAAGAUUGUUGAAGAGCAACAAUGAUAUUUUGGAGUAAGAGAAAAAAGUGCGUGACAUCAUCAUCAUCAUUAGCAUUGUUUAACCUG